rnacentral:sRNA from 1 species
UACAUUGCGUAAUUUGUUUGAAUGACUGUCUAGAGACAUGGAGAGACACGGAGUUGCUUGAGGGUACAGUGCCUGUAGAUACUCAAUAAACAUUUGUUUAAUUAAGAAAAUUUCUGUUAUUUGUGUGCUCAUAUAUACCAUUUCAGUCUGGGUUUGUCUGAUCCAGGUAAUUAUCAUGAAUUUUGUCGAUUUUUGGCUCGUUUAAAGACAAAUUAUCAGCUGGGAGAAUUAGUUAUGGUGAAGGAAUAUCCUGAAGUUAUUAGAUUGAUUGCUAAUUUUACCAUUACUAGCCUACAGCAUUGGGAAUUUGCUCCUAACAGUGUUCAUUAUUUAUUAACUCUGUGGCAAAGGAUGGUAGCAUCUGUUCCUUUUGUGAAAUCAACUGAACCCCACCUAUUAGACACUUAUGCACCAGAAAUCACGAAGGCCUUUAUCACUUCUCGGUUGGACUCUGUUGCCAUAGUUGUGAGAGAUCACUUAGAUGAUCCACUGGAUGAUACUGCCACUGUGUUUCAGCAGUUGGAGCAGUUGUGUACGGUCAGCAGAUGUGAAUAUGAAAAGACAUGUGCUCUUCUUGUGCAGUUAUUCGACCAAAAUGCACAGAAUUACCAAAAACUUCUGCAUCCAUCUUCUGGUGUAACUGUGGACAUCACCAUUCAGGAAGGACGUCUUGCAUGGCUGGUAUACUUAGUUGGGACAGUUGUAGGAGGAAGAUUAACAUAUACCAGUACAGAUG